UACAGAGGGUGCGAGCGUUAAUCGGAAUUACUGGGCGUAAAGCGUGCGUAGACGGCUAUCUAAGUCGGGUGUGAAAGCCCCGGGCUCAACCUGGGAAUUGCAUUCGAGACUGAAUAGCUAGGGUACGGUAGAGGGAAGCGGAAUUUCCGGUGUAGCGGUGAAAUGCGUAGAUAUCGGAAGGAACAUCAGUGGCGAAGGCAGCUCGCUGGGACGUGACUGACGCUGAGACGCGAAAGCGUGGGGAGCAAACAGG
rnacentral:rRNA from 1 species